GCCGAGCUCCAGGGAUUUAGCCAGCGCGGGGCUCUCUCCGAUGGGCUGGAGCCGGGGGAUAACGCGGGCGGAGCUCCGGGAGGCAUGCCCCAAACGCUGAGCUCUGCCAGUAUGUUUACUCCCUGUGGCUUCAGUCCUCAUCUACACUCAGCAAAAGAAGAUGUUCAAGGGGGACUGAUCUUCCAGGAUGGAAACCUUGCCUCAGCAUCUCUUGAUGCUUUAAUCCAACAUCUUAUACCUACAACUGAUUACUACCCUGAAAAGGCCUAUAUCUUUACAUUCCUGCUGAGUUCAAGACUCUUCAUUGAACCUCAUGAACUUUUGUCCCGAGUUUGUCACAAGUGCGUUGAGCAGCAGCGACUGGAUGACCCGGUGCUGGAUAAGGCGCGGAUCAGAAAAUUUGGGCCUAAACUCCUACAGUUGUUGACAGAAUGGACAGAAACGUUCCCCUAUGAUUUUCAGGAAGAGCGGAUGAUUGGCCAUUUGAAAGACAUGAUUGACAGGAUAGCCCCGUGUGACGAGGCCUACUGGAAAAGGAUGAAUCAGCUUUUGCAAGCCCUGAACCAGAAGCUUGCAACCCUGAGCCAUGGGCAGGAAGGAAUAGUCAAGAUCAAUGCUGCUGUCUCCGACAAGCUGGUCGCCUUUAAAAGUAAACCGCCGUCAAUUCAGAGAGAAAUCCUGACCGUCUGUAGUGACCCCUACACUCUGGCUCAGCAGCUAACACACGUGGAAUUGGAAAGGCUGAGUCACAUUGGGCCUGAAGAAUUUGUGCAGGCGUUUGUACACAAAGACUCUUUGGACAGCACCAAGUCUUGUUUCAAUGAGCAAAAAAAGACUAGUAACCUUGAGGCCUAUGUGAAGUGGUUCAAUAGACUCUGCUAUCUUGUGGCAACAGAAAUUUGCAUGCCUGCGAAAAAGAAACAGCGAGCACAAGUCAUAGAGUUCUUCAUUGAUGUUGCCCGAGAGUGCUUUAACAUAGGGAAUUUUAAUUCGCUGAUGGCAAUCAUAUCUGGAAUGAACAUGAGUCCCGUCUCCAGAUUAAAGAAGACCUGGUCAAAAGUGAAAACAGCCAAAUUUUUUAUUCUCGAGCAUCAGAUGGAUCCUACUGGUAAUUUUUAUAACUACAGAACUGCGUUGCGAGGGGCUGCCCACCGAUCCCUCACUGCACACAGCAACAGGGAGAAGAUUGUGAUCCCUUUCUUCAGCCUAUUGAUCAAAGACAUUUACUUUUUGAACGAAGGAUGUGCUAAUCGCCUUCCGAAUGGGCACGUCAACUUUGAAAAAUUCCUGGAACUGGCUAAACAAGUAGGCGAGUUUAUAACAUGGAAGCAAGUGGAAUGCCCAUUUGAACAAGACCAUAACAUCAUCCACUACUUGCAUACAGCCCCCAUCUUUACUGAGGAUGGUUUGUAUCUGGCUUCCUAUGAAAGUGAAAGUCCGGAGAACCAAAUUGAAAAAGAGAGAUGGAAAUCCUUGAGGUCUACUAUUUUGGGAAAGACUUGAAGACUCAGAUUAUUGCAGUACGACAAGAAAAAAAAAUCAGCAAAAAUAUUUUGCACUACUGAUUCCAAAGAUGCCUAUUUGGGAUUUAGUUUUCCUUUUUCUUCCUUUUUAUUUUUGGACUGAUUAAUGUGAUGAACUGGAUUCAUCCAUUGAAAUUAACAGAAUUGACUUACAGUAUGCACAAUUAUGCUUUUCUAAUUACUCAAGAGAGGAAGGACAACAGCUUAUUUGUGGCCAUACCAAAACUAUGUCAGUAUCACUGUAACCUUGUCUCAGAGGGAAACAAAACAAGAGCAAGGAGAGUCAUGGUGCUGCAACAGAGAAUGGUCUUCACUGGAAAACUAAAGACGCAGUGUGCACAUUUCAGAAGCAGGUGCUUCAAACAGCAGCUCGCCAAAUCCUUUGAGUAUUGUCAAAUCAAAUUCUGUCAAAUGCAGCAGCAAUCUGGUUAAUUGCUGAGGAAGGAAAGAAGGAUUUUAUUUUACAUCAGCAGCCUCCUGCCUUGUUGAACAAUGCACUGACUUCAGCAGAGAUAAGCUGCCCGUGGAUAAAAACUCAUGUAAACCACAUCAGCAUGAAAAUUCAUGCAAACUCCCAAGAAUUUUUACAUAGAAUGAUUUGAACUGUGAACAUUGGUUAUUUCUUCUUUCUCCAAUUGUUCUUGCCUUUCUUACUGUGAAUCUUGGCAGACUUCUUUGGGGCGUGAGCUGAAGAUGAGACAAAAUUCAGAUGUCCUGCUUACACUGAAAGCUGUGGGAAGCAAAUGGCUCUGAGUCCUACUUACCGCUGUUUAAACAUCUUCAUGUGCAUUUCAAAAUGUCCGCGACGGACUGAAUACACUUAAGAGUGUGAGUCUGCACUGCAUUGCCCCUUGUAUUGUCAUUUACACUUGUGUGACAGGGGUGUCAGAGGCUACCAGAUCAGAUGGGGAAUGAUUUGCAUGCACUGUGUGCAGAGGCGAAAAUGACUACCCAAGGUGUAAGGCAUCAGAGAGACAGGCUGUAGGCCUACAGGUACUGAAAAGGGCUGAUAUAUGAGUCAACAGUGUGAUGCUGUUGCUAAAAAAGCAAACAUGAUUCUGGGAUGUAUUAACAGGUGUGUUGUG